AUUGAGUCCUUUCAUAACAGCAGAGCUUUGAUGAGCUUUGUGCUGAUGAAAGGAGGAUCAGGAAUAGAGCAGAGGACCUGCUGAUCUACUGGUUCUGGUUCUAGUAGAUUUUAUAAAUGCAUGACUGAGACAAGACAACAGCACUGGACCAAUCAGGAGAGAGAAGACACAGAUAACUGAGGGGACACAGAAAAUCCUGCUGAAAGUCCAUAGAAGAAGUUUCCAGCUGAGGACACAGAAUAAAGAGACAGAGAUCAUGUGAAGUUGGAUCUCCUCAGCUUGUAAACCUCCACCUUCAACACCACCAGUCAGGUGGAGGAAGAUAAGAGAACCCUGUUGACAAAAAAA